rnacentral:rRNA from 1 species
UAGCUAGUUGGUGAGGUAAAGGCUUACCAAGGCGACGAUCUGUAGCGGGUCUGAGAGGAUGAUCCGCCACACUGGAACUGAGACACGGUCCAGACUCCUACGGGAGGCAGCAGUGGGGAAUUUCGGACAAUGGGGGCAACCCUGAUCCAGCCAUGCCGCGUGAGUGAAGAAGGCCUUCGGGUUGUAAAGCUCUUUCGGCCGGGAAGAAAUCGCAUGGGCCAAUACCCUGUGUGGAUGACGGUACCGGAAUAAGAAGCACCGGCUAACUACGUGCCAGCAGCCGCGGUAAUACGUAGGGUGCGAGCGUUAAUCGGAAUUACUGGGCGUAAAGCGUGCGCAGGCGGUUUUGUAAGACAGGCGUGAAAUCCCCGGGCUUAACCUGGGAACUGCGUUUGUGACUGCAAGGCUAGAGUACGGCAGAGGGGGGUGGAAUUCCACGUGUAGCAGUGAAAUGCGUAGAGAUGUGGAGGAACACCAAUGGCGAAGGCAGCCCCCUGGGUCGAUACUGACGCUCAUGCACGAAAGCGUGGGUAGCAAACAGGAUUAGAUACCCUGGUAGUCCACGCCCUAAACUAUGUCAACUAGGUGUUGGGUGGGUAAAACCAUUUAGUACCGUAGCUAACGCGUGAAGUUGACCGCCUGGGGAGUACGGCCGCAAGGUUAAAACUCAAAGGAAUUGACGGGGACCCGCACAAGCGGUGGAUGAUGUGGAUUAAUUCGAUGCAACGCGAAAAACCUUACCUACCCUUGACAUGCCAGGAACUUGCCAGAGAUGGCUUGGUGCCCGAAAGGGAGCCUGGACACAGGUGCUGCAUGGCUGUCGUCAGCUCGUGUCGUGAGAUGUUGGGUUAAGUCCCGCAACGAGCGCAACCCUUGUCGUUAAUUGCCAUCAUUUAGUUGGGCACUUUAACGAGACUGCCGGUGACAAACCGGAGGAAGGUGGGGAUGACGUCAAGUCCUCAUGGCCCUUAUGGGUAGGGCUUCACACGUCAUACAAUGGUCGGUACAAAGGGUUGCCAAGCCGCGAGGCGGAGCCAAUCCCAGAAAGCCGAUCGCAGUCCGGAUUGCAGGCUGCAACUCGCCUGCGUGAAGUCGGAAUCGCUAGUAAUCGUGGAUCAGCAUGUCACGGUGAAUACGUUCCCGGGUCUUGUACACACCGCCCGUCACACCAUGGGAGCGGGUUCCGCCAGAAGUAGGUAGCCUAACCGCAAGGGGGGCGCUUACCACGGCGGGGUUCGUGACUGGGGUGAAGUCGAAACAAGGUAGCCGUAGGGGAACCUGCGGCUG